rnacentral:rRNA from 1 species
UACGUAGGCAGCGAGCGUUGUUCGGAGUUACUGGGCGUAAAGCGUGCGUAGGCGGUUGUCUAAGUCUGGUGUGAAAUCUCCCGGCUCAACUGGGAGGGUGCGCCGGAAACUGGAUGACUGGAGUGCCGGAGAGGUAAGCGGAACUCCUGGUGUAGCGGUGAAAUGCGUAGAGAUCAGGAGGAACACCUGUGGUGUAGACAGCUUACUGGACGGUGACUGACGCUGAGGCACGAAAGCGUGGGUAGCAAACAGG